GCUGACACAUCCCUGCUAAUCUCCGGCAGACCCUCCCUCCUAGACCCUCCCACCUCCUGGACAGCAUCCAUGUUGAAGCUGCCUUCAACAUGGAUGCUGUCCAGGAAGUAGGAGGGUCUGGGAGGGAGGGUCUGCCGGAGAUUGGCAGGGAUGUGUCAG